rnacentral:rRNA from 1 species
UGUGUCCUACGGGACGCAGCAGUGGGGAAUAUUGGGCAAUGGGCGCAAGCCUGACCCAGCAACGCCGCGUGAAGGAAGAAGGCUUUCGGGUUGUAAACUUCUUUUGUCAGGGACGAAGCAAGUGACGGUACCUGACGAAUAAGCCACGGCUAACUACGUGCCAGCAGCCGCGGUAAUACGUAGGUGGCAAGCGUUAUCCGGAUUUAUUGGGUGUAAAGGGCGUGUAGGCGGGAAUGCAAGUCAGAUGUGAAAAUUAUGGGUUCAACGCAUAGCCUGCAUUUGAAACUGUAUUUCUUGAGUGCUGG